GGUUUAGACCGUCGUGAGACAGG
rnacentral:ncRNA from 2 species